rnacentral:rRNA from 1 species
UAGGGAAUCUUCCGCAAUGGGCGAAAGCCUGACGGAGCAACGCCGCGUGAGUGAUGAAGGUCUUCGGAUCGUAAAACUCUGUUAUUAGGGAAGAACAAAUGUGUAAGUAACUAUGCACAUCUUGACGGUACCUAAUCAGAAAGCCACGGCUAACUACGUGCCAGCAGCCGCGGUAAUACGUAGGUGGCAAGCGUUAUCCGGAAUUAUUGGGCGUAAAGCGCGCGUAGGCGGUUUUUUAAGUCUGAUGUGAAAGCCCACGGCUCAAACGUGGAGGGUCAUUGGAAACUGGAAAACUUGAGUGCAGAAGAGGAAAGUGGAAUUCCAUGUGUAGCGGUGAAAUGCGCAGAGAUAUGGAGGAACACCAGUGGCGAAGGCGACUUUCUGGUCUGUAACUGACGCUGAUGUGAGAAAGCGUGGGGAUCAAACAGG